GCGUGUGUGAAGAAGGUCUUCGGAUUGUAAAGCCCUUUCGACGGGGACGAUGAUGACGGUACCCGUAGAAGAAGCCCCGGCUAACUUCGUGCCAGCAGCCGCGGUAAUACGAAGGGGGCUAGCGUUGCUCGGAUUGACUGGGCGUAAAGGGCGCGUAGGCGGUUUGCAUAGUCAGACGUGAAAUUCCUGGGCUUAACCUGGGGGCUGCGUUUGAUACAUGCAGGCUUGAGUUCGGAAGAGGGUCGUGGAAUUCCCAGUGUAGAGGUGAAAUUCGU
rnacentral:rRNA from 1 species